rnacentral:rRNA from 1 species
ACGCUGGCUCCGUGCCUAACACAUGCAAGUCGAACGAGAAAGUGGAGCAGUCCAUGAGUACAGUGUCGUACGGGUGAGUAACACGUGACUAACCUACCCUCGAGUGGGGAAUAACCUCGGGAAACCGGGGCUAAUACCGCAUAACAUCUACGGAUCAAAUGCGCAAGCAGCUUGAGGAGGGGGUCGCGGCCGAUUAGUUAGUUGGCGGGGUAAUGGCCCACCAAGGCAAUGAUCGGUAGCCGGCCUGAGAGGGCGCACGGCCACACUGGAACUGAAACACGGUCCAGACUCCUACGGGAGGCAGCAGUGGG